UUGUAAAGCUUUUCAUUUCAGCCUUCAACAAGUAAAAAAGAAGGCGGAAAAGACAUUGAAUCAAAGCUAUAAUGUACAAUGAAUACAAUAAAAAGCUAGAAAGUCAAAUAAAACAAAGAAUUCAUGAGCAAGAUUACAUAGGUCUAAUUGAAGGCAUAACUAAGAAAUAAGGCCUUUUUUACAUUUAAGCAAGUGAUUUAUGAAUAAAUUUCAACAAAGUUGCACACCAUUCAUGAGACUUUUUAUUCAAAAA
rnacentral:misc_RNA from 1 species